rnacentral:misc_RNA from 1 species
GUCUUUUCAUCUCUGCCCCGCCCACUAUUGGGCACGACUUGAGCGCGUCAUCCGCGUCUGUCUUGUUUUUACGUGGCCUUUCUCCCCUCCCCGUCUGUUUAUUUUUUUUCUCUCUCCCUGUGUGUGUGUGUGUGUGCUGCCGGCAUCUGCUUUGGUUCUAAUCUCCCCCCAUCCAAUCCCACCCCCCUUCUCAUCCCUGCCCCCCGUUUCCUUCAUCUCUUCGGGUCCCUUUCGCACGCACCACCCCGCCGCCCCGCCACCGCGAACACUUGCUUGACCCUCCCUCCCUCCCUCCCUCCUUUGCCAGGCGCGGGUGGCGGCGAGGGGGCGGCGCACCGAGACGGCCUCCCCCUCCUCUUUCUCUUUUGCUUGGUUGCUCGCUUUGGGGUGGCUGCCGUGCCGAGCGUCUGCCUGGGACCUUGCCGCACAGAGCGUCUCGCAGGCGCACAGCAUCGAGGCGCGAGUGACCUCCCCCCCUCCUCCUCCUGCUCCUCCACGUCCAACGACAGAACGGACGAGCGCGUGUGCGUAUACCUUUGCAAGUGUAAAGCGGGGAAAAAGAAAAAACGGGUCGGAUAAGGAUGCCAUCACCGCGAACGCAUGUCGUUGACCUUGGCUGCAUGCCGCGCGAGAAUCUCAUUGAAAUCGCCAAGAAGCAGGCGAAUCAGAUCCGUGAGAAGAACACACGCAUAUCGGCCAUGGAGGCGUUUAUUGAAAGCCUCACCGGUACAUCCGCGGAGGAGAGCCUCUCGCAGCUCCCGCACGCCAACUCGAGCACCCCUCCGCACAACUCGAGUACGGCAACACCAGCCUUCUCAGCUGAAUCUGGUACUGGCACACCAGCCACCGCUUCCGCAUCGCAGCUGCUUCAACUGCAGCAGACACAGGAGGAAGAGCAGCUUCAGCGCACCUUGCGUGUCUCGGAGCUGGAGGAGCAGCUGCGUGAGAGGCAGCGUGAAUAUGACCAACUUCAGGCGAAGGUGGACGCGUGGAAAACGAAGGUUAUGGCCAUCAUGAUAGCUGACCAGGAGCGUAUCCGCGUCCUCGAAGCUCAACUGGCCGCGGCCGCGGCCACAUCACACGAAUCAUCAUCGUCUUCCGCUCCGCUCAACGCGCCUUUCGGAGUGACAGCGGCACCUUCACCUGACGCUGGCGAGUCUUAUAUGACUACCCAGCUUCAGCAGCUGCAGGCGCCGGUAUCUGCUCCUCAGCAAGAGCUCCGCAACGUUAGGGAAGAGCCUCAACAAGCUCAGUCUCAGCUUCAUGAGCAGCACCGCUCGACACUGCAGGCCUUGCUGCCGCCCGCCGCUGCCACAGUGACCACGGAAAACUUGAUGAGCGCACCGCCGGCAGCGCUCAGACCGCCGCCCUCCACUCCCUCAGAAGAGUUGCCCGGCAAAACUUUGCCUCUGCCCCCCGCACCGAUAACUGCAGCGGAUAUUCCACCUGAGGUCCUCCAGGAAGCCGUACACCUCCAGCUAGCUUCGUGGAAGGAGCAGGUCGAAACGGCCAUGCUGGCGGACAAAAGCCGCAUUCAGGAUCUCGAGGUGCAGCUGGCGGCGCUGGGGACUGCCACCAGUGUUGACCACGCUUGUGAGGCCGAGCGCGCCGCGGAGACGGAGGCGCUGCGCGCGGAGGUGGGCCGCCUGCAGGAGGCGCUAGAGGCCGCGGAGCGCGAGCGCGAUCUGGUGCAGGAGGCUGACAGGUCGGAGGUGGAGUCCUACCGCGCGGCCUUCAAGAGGCAGAUCACGGAGCUGAACUGCGAAAUCGAUGAGCUGCGCGCCGCCGCCGCUGCGGCCAAGGAGGACCGCGGGGCUACCCUGAGCGCUUGCGCUGCCGAGCUCGCCGCGGAGACGGAGGCGCUGCGCGCGGAGGUGGGCCGCCUGCAGGAGGCGCUAGAGGCCGCGGAGCGCGAUCGGGACGAUGCGGCUGUCUCGAUGAAGGCAUUUAAGGCAAAGAUGGAUGAGUGGAAGGCGAAAGUGCGAAGCGUUGUGGAGAAUGGUGAGCUGCAGCGUCGCGCAUUGGAGGCGGAGGUGCAACGCUUGAAGGAGGACCGGGUCGCUGCUGGUGCUGGUGGUGAUGCAUCGUGCUCAGAGAAUCGUCAGAGGAAAGAUGAUGACGAAUCAGGUGCGGCUUCCACCUCGGUGGACCGAAAGGAGGCGUGGUCGCAGACGGAUGUGGUGGCUGAUGCAUCGGAGGACAGUACAGCGAUGAGGCCUGCCGCGGGUGCCCUUCAAGACGUUGCGGUGCAGACUUCGAUCGCUACAGAAGUUCCUCUCCAAGUGGUCACGGACGUGGCUUCGGUGCCGAGCCCUGUUGCGCUGCCCGAGCUGCACCUGCAGAGCAUGCAGGCCCUGUUAAUGGAGUGUGAGCGCGCUGCAAUGGAGAACAGGCGACUCCAACGCGUCUUUGCGCAGCUGUCCAGAUUUCGAGAGGAGGUAAUGAGGGAGGUUCAUGCGGUUGCUGCGCCUCCCUCUGCACCCGCCUCGUGAAACAUGCGUGAAAAGAGCCGUGUGUGAGUGUGUGUGUGUGUGGAUGUGCGUCUGCAAAGGUGCUCCCGUGUGGGUACUGCUACUUCAGCCACCGCUUCUUCUGGUAUUGGGCGGCGUGCUCACCGCCUACAGCGAGAGGGAGAGCGACCGUGAGGGAGGAAAGGAGCUUGAGGUACAUGAGCGUUUACG